AACUACGGUCAUGCCACAAUGAACAAGCCCAAUCCCGUCUGGUCUCGGAAGCUAAGCAGGAUUGGGCCUGGUUAGUACUUGGAUGGGAGACCCUCUAGGAAGACCAGGUGCUGUAGGCA
rnacentral:rRNA from 1 species